AAAGAAAAAUGAAUGUUUUGAAGUGUGUGACAAGUGGCCGGUAUGAUACAGUAGAUAAUACAAGAAGAAAAUUCGUAGGUAUAAUAUUUUGUCAAUAACUGAAUUAAGUCAAUUAAUUCUCUGUAUGCACGGCGGCUUCGUAGUAUUCGACCAGUAGCAACCAAUUAUAGAACAAAUACUCAUUCUAUGGGAGUGGCUUGUUAAUCCACCAUCGAUCAAAAACCGCAGUUAGAUCUCAUUUGAAAAAUGGUAUGAACACAAAUUAC